rnacentral:rRNA from 1 species
AGGCCUAACACAUGCAAGUCGUACGAGAAAGUGGGCUUCGGCCGAUGAGUAAAGUGGCGCACGGGUGAGUAAUGCGUGGAUAAUCUGCCCUUUAGUUGGGAAUAACGUACCGAAAGGUGCGCUAAUACCUGAUAAUACUGCAUAACUACUGUUGUGUAGUCAAAGAAGGCCUCUGUUUACAAGCUUUUGCUGAAGGAUGAGUCCGCGUACCAUUAGCUGGUUGGUGGGGUAAUGGCCUACCAAGGCUACGAUGGUUAGCUGGUCUGAGAGGAUGAUCAGCCACACUGGAACUGAGACACGGUCCAGACUCCUACGGGAGGCAGCAGUUAGGAAUAUUGCGCAAUGGGGGCAACCCUGACGCAGCAACGCCGCGUGAGUGAGGAAGGUUUUCGGACCGUAAAGCUCUGUCGAGCGGGAAGAAAUGUAUCAUGGCUAAUAUCCAUGAUACUUGACGGUACCGCUAAAGGAAGCACCGGCUAACUCCGUGCCAGCAGCCGCGGUAAUACGGAGGAUGCAAGCGUUAUCCGGAUUCACUGGGUUUAAAGGGUGCGCAGGCGGACAUUUAAGUCAGGGGUGAAAUCUACAGCUUAACUGUAGAACUGUCCUUGAUACUGAAUGCCUAGAGUAAAGUUGAAGUGGGCGGAAUGUGUUGUGUAGCGGUGAAAUGCUUAGAUAUAACACAGGACACCAAUCGCGAAGGCAGCUCACUAAACUUUAACUGACGCUCAUGCACGAAAGCGUGGGGAGCAACAGGAUUAGAUACCCUGGUAGUCCACGCCGUAAACGAUGAUCACUCGCUGUUGGCGAUAUAUUGUCAGUGGCUAAGCAAAAGUGAUAAGUGAUCCACCUGGGGAGUACGACCGCAAGGUUGAACUCAGAGGAAUUGACGGGGGCCCGCACAAGCGGAGGAGCAUGUGGUUUAAUUCGAUGAUACGCGAGGAACCUUACCAGGGCUCGAACGCAGGAGGAAUACACCCGAAAGGAUGUAGCCAGCAAUGGCCGCCUGCGAGGUGCUGCAUGGUUGUCGUCAGCUCGUGCCGUGAGGUGUCAGGUUAAGUCCUAUAACGAGCGCAACCCCUAUUCAUAGUUGCCAGCAUAUUACGAUGGGGACUCUAUGAAAACUGCCUGCGCAAGCAGUGAGGAAGGUGGGGAUGACGUCAAAUCAGCACGGCCCUUAUGUCCUGGGCUACACACGUGCUACAAUGGCCGGUACAAAAGGCCGCAACUACGCAAGUAGAAGCUAAUCCCUAAAACCGGUCUCAGUUCGGAUUGGAGUCUGCAACCCGACUCCAUGAAGCCGGAUUCGCUAGUAAUCGCACAUCAGCCAUGGCGCGGUGAAUACGUUCCCGGGCCUUGUACACACCGCCCGUC